AACGCACCUUGCGCUCCCUAGUAUUCUGGGGAGCAUGUCUGUUUGAGUGUCAUGAACUUCUUCAAACCCAAAAUCUCGCUCUGCGUGGGAUUCUGGUGUCUUGGAUUUUGAACGUUUGCUGGUCCCCGUCGGCGUUAGCUCGUUCGUAAUACAUUAGCAUCUCGGAUUCGAAUUCGGAUUGACUCAGUGUAAUAGACUAUUUUGCUGGGGAACACUCUUUCGCAUUUUUCGAUGUGAGAAUGUGACCGAAUUGAAUGAAUCGUCGUUUUUAGAAGCUUCUAAUUCUCUCUCAAAUCUUGUUUCAAGAAUCGAGACCUCAAAUCAGGCAGGAUUACCCGCUGAACUUAA
rnacentral:misc_RNA from 1 species